rnacentral:lncRNA from 1 species
GCGCCACCAUGCAGGGCUCUUCAUUCUUUCUUAAUGUCAAAAGUAGAGACAAAUCUAAUAGUAUCUCAAAAGUUAUAGAAGUUAGACCUGAUACAUUUUUUUCUAUUACAAUUUUUUUUUUUUUUUAAAAUUAGGCUGUCAAGAUAGCUCAGUGGGCAAAAAAAAGUACUUGCCACCAAGUCUGAUGACCUAAGUUUGAUUCACCCUGAACCUUCAAGGUAGAGAGAACUGUUUGACUCUAGUAAGUUGUCCUUUGAUUUCUAGACCACCUCCCCCAGCUACUCCCCCACCUACUCCUUCACCCCACCCCCACAUAGUAAAAACUUAAAAAAAUAUUUAUUUGCUUGCAUGUGUGAGUACAUGUGCAUGCGUGUGUACAGGAAGCCAGAAUUGGGUUUCCAAUCCCUUUGAGCUGGAAUUACUGUGAUUUCCAAGAUACCUGGCUGCUAUCUGGGCAUUGAUCAGAAUACAGGUUCUCAUGAUUGAAUACCAAGCACUCAUAACUGAUGAGCCAUCUCUUCAGCCCAUGAAGCUGAUAGAGUUCUAAAAUGGUCACAUAGUUAUAUACCUUGUGAAUAUACCUCUGUGACACAAAAGUAUAGCAGAAAUGAAGUGAGAUAAGGAAUUUCUGCACAGUGAACUCAGGCACUGUAUAAUGAAGUACUAUAAGAUUAUUGCUUAAAUGACAUUGUUGCUAUCUCAGUUUGUAUAAGUACACUCCAGGUGUAAUGUAAUCCUGUCAUUAAGCAGUUUCUGACUGUGAUAUUAAAGCAUCUACUGUUUGACAUAUAUUUUUUAAAAAUGUGAUAUAUUACUUCACUUUUUACUUCAUUUAUCAGCAGAUGAAAACAAAAUGCAGUGAAAGCAUAUGUAUAGUAAGAUAUUGUGAUAUAAAAGGAGUGAAAUUCUGAUACAUGCUAUACAACUUGCAUGGACUUGGAGGACCUUGUGCUAAGUGACAUAAGCCAGAAACAACUUUGUAUUUAUUUUUAAGAUGCAUUUAUUUUUAUUUUAUAUGUUUGGGUCUUUGCUUGUAUGUAUGUCUAUGUACAAUGUUUCUGUCUGGAACUGGUGGAAGCCAGAAGACCUUCCUCAGAUCCCUUGGAACUGGAGUUUACAGCUGUGCUGUUUUUGUGAGCUGCCAUGAAGGUACUGAGAAUGCAGCUCAGAUCCUCUGGAAGAGCAGCAAGCUCUCUUAAUUGCUAAGCCAUAUUUCCAGCUCAUAUCUUUUAUUAUUUUUUUUUCUUAAUUUUUAAGCAUAGAAAUAUAAUCACAUUUUUCCUUCCCUCUCCCUAGUUUCUCCCAUUUACUCCUCCAUGUUUCCGGUCACUUCCUUUGUUAUUGUUGUGUAUGUAUUUACCGAAAUAUAUAAAUACAGCCCAUUCGGUCCAUUUAGUGUUACUUGUAUGUACAUGAUUUCAGGGCUGAUCACUUGUUAGUGGAUACCCAGUUAGGGUACUCGUCCCUUGGGAAGACUUUUUCUCCCACUCUCAGCAAUCUAUAAUUGCCUGUAGUUCUUUGUUUAGGGGUGGGCCCCAUAAGGUUUUCUUCUUCAAUGUUAGUAUGUUUAUUGGUAUUGCACUUCUUUGGGUCUUGUUUAGGCAGCUGUAUUGUUGAGUUCAUCAUGGGUGAAGAAGCUUCCUUGUCACUUCUAGGAGACAGAAUUUCAUAGCAGAUUUCUUCAUUUUCUGGCUCUUAAAUUUUUUUUCUGCCCCCUCUUCUGAUAUAUUCCCUGAACCUUAGGCACAGAAGUUGUAUUGUAGAUGUAUCGAUUGGGGCUGAGCACCACAUGAUCUCUUACUUGUUCUCUGCAUUUUGACCUGGUGUGGCCUUCUAAAAUGUUCUCCAUCUGUUACAAAGAAUAAUUUCCUUAAUGACUGUGAAAGCUACACUUAUCCCGCUUGGCCCUGUUGCAAUAUGUUAUAGGACCUAGGUGGGCUGCAAGGUUGAAUGCAUGUCUGGAUGCAUUUUAUUUAUUUUUUUGAGAUAGAUUUCAUACUAUAAACCUUGCCGGCUCAAAAUUUGCUAUAUCAAGCAGGCUGGUCUCAUAAUGUUUCUGCCUCCUUUUAUUGCUUAUUGAGCUUGAUUAGAGUUGAUCACAUGGGCAUGGAUGUGGGAUUUACUGAGCAUGGAAAACUUAACCAGUAUCUACGCAACUGAAGAAAACUGACUUCUUUCUCUAGCAACCAUUAGUUGCCAAUUGCUCCUCAGCUAGUGAUGGAAUCUCAUGACUUCUGUGUUUUUCUUUUCUCUUUUCUUUCUUUCUUUCUUUCUUUCUUUCUUUCUUUCUUUCUUUCUUUCUUUCUUUCUUUCUUUUUCUUUCUUUUUUUGAAACAGGGUAUCUUUGUAUGGCCCUGGCUAUCCUAUAGCUAACUCUUUGACCAGGCUGACCUUGAACACAGAGUUCUAUCUGCCUGUUUCUGCUUCUGCUUUCAGAGUGCUGGGGUUAGAGACAUGUACUACCAUGUCUGGCCUGUUUUCAUUUUUUUGAAACAGGGCCUCAUGUAGCUCAGGCUAGCUAGCUAGCCUUGAACUCCUGGUUCUUUUGCCUCUUCUCCCAAGUGCUGAGAUUAUUAGAGUUAUAUCCCAACAUGCCCAGCUACUUUUUUUUAUUUUUUAAUGUG